rnacentral:rRNA from 1 species
UGAGGAAUAUUGGUCAAUGGACGAGAGUCUGAACCAGCCAAGUAGCGUGCAGGAAGACGGCCCUAUGGGUUGUAAACUGCUUUUAUAAGGGAAUAAAGUGAGUCUCGUGAGACUUUUUGCAUGUACCUUAUGAAUAAGGACCGGCUAAUUCCGUGCCAGCAGCCGCGGUAAUACGGAAGGUCCGGGCGUUAUCCGGAUUUAUUGGGUUUAAAGGGAGCGUAGGCCGGAGAUUAAGCGUGUUGUGAAAUGUAGAUGCUCAACAUCUGAACUGCAGCGCGAACUGGUUUCCUUGAGUACGCACAAAGUGGGCGGAAUUCGUGGUGUAGCGGUGAAAUGCUUAGAUAUCACGAAGAACUCCGAUUGCGAAGGCAGCUCACUGGAGCGCAACUGACGCUGAAGCUCGAAAGUGCGGGUAUCGAACAGGAUUAGAUACCCUGGUAGUCCGCACGGUAAACGAUGGAUGCCCGCUGUUGGUCUGAAUAGGUCAGCGGCCAAGCGAAAGCAUUAAGCAUCCCACCUGGGGAGUACGCCGGCAACGGUGAAACUCAAAGGAAUUGACGGGGGCCCGCACAAGCGGAGGAACAUGUGGUUUAAUUCGAUGAUACGCGAGGAACCUUACCCGGGCUUGAAUUGCAGAGGAAGGAUUUGGAGACAAUGACGCCCUUCGGGGCCUCUGUGAAGGUGCUGCAUGGUUGUCGUCAGCUCGUGCCGUGAGGUGUCGGCUUAAGUGCCAUAACGAGCGCAACCCCUCUCCUUAGUUGCCAUCAGGUCAUGCUGGGCACUCUGGGGACACUGCCACCGUAAGGUGUGAGGAAGGUGGGGAUGACGUCAAAUCAGCACGGCCCUUACGUCCGGGGCUACACACGUGUUACAAUGGCAGGUACAGAGAGACGGUCCCUUGCAAAAUGGAUCAAAUCCUUAAAGCCUGUCUCAGUUCGGACUGGGGUCUGCAACCCGACCCCACGAAGCUGGAUUCGCUAGUAAUCGCGCAUCAGCCAUGGCGCGGUGAAUACGUUCCC